CUUGUUCCUGCAGGGCUCCGGGCGACCGUGACCCUGCUGGAGUGCGGGGGGGACCUCCAGCCCCCCGGGGGGUCCCUGACUCUGCUCUGCCGCGCCUCUGGGUUCAGUUUCACCGGUUACAACCUGGGCUGGGUUCGCCAAAGCCCUGGGAAGGCGCUGGAAUGGAUUGGGGAGAUCAGCAUCGGGGGCACCACCUGGUACGCGCCGUCGGUCAAGGGCCGCUUCACGAUCUCCAGGGACAACGGGCAGAGCUCGGUGACGCUGACCAUGAACAACCUCAAGGACGAGGAUUCCAGCGUUUAUUUCUGUGCCAGAAAUGCCGGUGGUCAUUGGGUUGAAGUUGGUGGUGCUGCUGCUGGUUUUUAUCCCAUCCCCGUCUUGGCAUCGCCACUGAUCCCCAAAUGUCACCAGACCCCAACCCUUGACCCCGACCUUGAGCACUGA